GACGAACGCUGGCGGCGUGCUUAACACAUGCAAGUCGAACGGAAAGGCCCUGCUUUUGUGGGGUGCUCGAGUGGCGAACGGGUGAGUAACACGUGAGUAACCUGCCCUUGACUUUGGGAUAACUUCAGGAAACUGGGGCUAAUACCGGAUAGGAGCUCCUGCUGCAUGGUGGGGGUUGGAAAUUUUCGGCGGUUGGGGAUGGACUCGCGGCUUAUCAGCUUGUUGGUGGGGUAGUGGCUUACCAAGGCUUUGACGGGUAGCCGGCCUGAGAGGGUGACCGGCCACAUUGGGACUGAGAUACGGCCCAGACUCCUACGGGAGGCAGCAGUGGGGAAUAUUGCACAAUGGGCGGAAGCCUGAUGAAGAAACGCCGCGUGCGGGAUGACGGCCUUCGGGUUGUAAACCGCUUUCGCCUGUGACGAAGCGUGAGUGACGGUAAUGGGUAAAGAAGCACCGGCUAACUACGUG
rnacentral:rRNA from 1 species